GACGAACGCUGGCGGCGUGCUUAACACAUGCAAGUCGAACGGUGAAGCGCCUUCCUUUUUGGUGGGUGUGGAUGAGUGGCGAACGGGUGAGUAACACGUGAGUAACCUGCCCCCUUCUUCUGGAUAACCGCAUGAAAGUGUGGCUAAUACGGGAUAUUCUGGGUCUGUCGCAUGAUGGGUCUGGGAAAGAUAUUGUUUCGGUGGGGGAUGGGCUCGCGGCCUAUCAGCUUGUUGGUGGGGUGAUGGCCUACCAAGGCGGUGACGGGUAGCCGGCCUGAGAGGGUUGGCGGUCACACUGGGGCUUAGGCCCGGCCCCAACUCCUUCCGGGGGCAGCAGUGGGGAAUAUUGCACAAUGGGCGCAAGGCUGGUGCAGGGGCGCCGCGGGAGGGAUGGAGGCCUUCGGGUUUUGAACCUCUUUCGCCAGUGAAGCAGGCCUGCCUCGUUUGUGGGUGGGUUGACGGUAGCUGGAUAAGAAGCGCCGGCUAACUACGUG
rnacentral:rRNA from 1 species